ensembl:lncRNA
AGUGCUAGUGCCAGCGCUAGUGCCAGUGCCAGUGUCAACUACAACAGUAACAGUAGUAACAAUUCUCUCAUAAGUAACAGACAUUAUAAACCUAUAAGUAAUCAUAACAAUACUUUUAACAACAUGUUACAAAGUGUAAAUAAAAGAUUUACCUAUAGUACUAGCCAGCCAUUAUAUUAUAAUUAUUUGUUUAAUCCAGUUAUAAGUCAUAAAGAAGAUAAUGAAAAAUUGUGUAAUAAUUGUGACAUUAGUAAUCUUGAACUUAUAGACAUGUACAAUAGUUUUAACAACAAAGUAACUAGCUGUAAAGACACGAAUCAUCCGUAUAAUAACAAUGAUAGCCUCAGUACAUACUACAAUAUCAAAAGUGAUGUUCAUAACUAUAUAAAAGACCAUUCUGCUGUUCAGAAAAAAAAUAUAUAUAAUAAUACUUUAAACACAAUAAAUAAAUUACAAUAUGCUAAAAAAUUCUGCAAAAAUAGUAAAAACAAACCAGUCGUAGUGCAUAAAACAAACAUAUGCUACAGAAAUACGAAUAGAAGUAAAGGUACAGAUAAGAGUGGUAGUGGGCAAAUAAAAAAAAAAUGCAAAAAAAAACUUUUAUCGAAAUUAUAUAAAACUAACAAACAUAAUAAUAUAGAAGAAAGUUUAAAAAGUAACUCAGAUUCACUGACAAAGUUUUACACAACUUCGUUUAACCCAUUGUGCUGUUAUAAAGAAACAACAAUAAAAGGAAGACCAUGUGGAAAUACAAUAAAAACAAAUUUAGCUUAUUCAUACUCUGACGAAUUAAGUAGUUUUAACGCAUUAAGCUUAGAUAAUGUGAGUAAUAGUCUUACCAUUAAACAAAAUGAUAACACCAGCAGUAGCAACAAAUAUAACGGUAAUACUAACAAUACUGUAGCUAGCUAUAGUAAUACUAAUAUUAGCUAUAACAACGCAAUAGCAAACUAUAGUAAUACUCAUACUAGCUAUAACAACACAAUAGCUAGCUAUAAUAAUACUCAUACUAGCUAUAACAACACAAUAGCUAGCUAUAAUAAUACUAGUGCUAGCUACAAUAAUAUGUUAACUAGCUACAAUAAUACCAAUGCUAGUUACAACAAUACGAUAGAUAGUUAUAACAAUACACUAACUAGCUAUAAUAAUACACUAACUAGCUAUAAUAAUACGUUAACUAGCUAUAAUAAUACACUAGCUAGCUAUAAUAAUACACUAGCUAGCUAUAAUAAUACUAGUGCUAGCUACAUUAAUAAACGUCACAAAGAAGAUACUACUAAUAAUACUACAUACGAUUUUAGCAAUAGUGAAGUUAGCUCUUUGAUAUAUUUUAAUAUGUAUUUUUUUAAAGACAAAGAAAAAACAGAAGAUAUAAAUACAAAAUGUUUAGGUAUUAACAAAAAAAGGCAGUUUACUAGAGAUGCACUAGCGAAGCAUGAUAGUUGUGUGCGUACAAGUGAUUUAUGUAUUGGUCACAUGUGUACAAGUGAUGGAUUUGGAGACAAAACACAGGACAAGGGACAGGAAUACAAACACAAACGUAAACACAAACGCAAACAUAAACACAAACAUAAACACAAACAUAAACACAAAUAUGUGCAUAAGCAUAUACAUAAGGACGAGCAUAAGCAUAUACAUAAGGAUGAGCAUAAACCUAUACAUAAGGACGAGCAUAAACCUAUACAUAAGGANNNNNNNNNNAAACCUAUACAUAAGGACGAGCAUAAACCUAUACAUAAGGACGAGCACAAAUACAAACACAAACACAAACACAAGGACGAACAUAAAGAUGAAGCAACACAUCAUCGGCUAAAAAAAAAAAAAGACUUUGCUGCACACCAAAAAAAGGUAAUGAAAAAAAAAUGUCACAUAAAAAAUACAGAAACAAAUAACAAAUUAAAAAUUGUCAACGAUAGUAAUAAACAUCAGUUCAAUUUUUACGAGUUUAACAAUAAUAAUCUAAUGAAUAACGUUUUAAAAACACAAGAUAAAAAAAAACAAUCAUCUUCAUGGUCAUGUGAAAUUUGUAGUAGUUGCAACUGCGACGGAAAUUGUGACAGAAACUGUAGUUGCUCUAGCUGUAACUCCAAUUUGAAUAAAUUAAAAAAAAGAAAAAUGGAUUUAAAACAGAAUAGACAGCUAAUAACUUCAGGUGAUCAAAUUUAUAGUAAUGAUUCUGUAAAAAGAAAAACCAUUAGGUUAAGGGAUGAUAGUAUAUUGUCAGAACAAAAGGAAGUAGUAACAGAAAGGGGGAAAAGAAAAAAAGAAAAGAAAAAAAAAAAAAUAGAAAUAGAAAUAACUGAACAAAAGGUGAACGAAAGCACAAAUAGUAGAACAAAUAGUAGCACAAAUAGUAGCACAUAUAACAAUAAGAUACAACAUAAAUUACUAAAAAUAUUUUUCCAUUUGUUAUAUAUGAAUAGUUACUUUCAAAGCAAGUAUGAUAAAAAAGAAGCACAAUUUCAAAUCCGUAAAAUUAAUCGAAUUCGUGAAAUAUACAAAAUAGAAAAGGUCCUAACUGAGAGAACAGAAGAACAGAAUAAGUCAAAAUCAUGUAUACAUAAAAAAAAUAAAAACAUUUUAAAUACUCAUGACAUAAGUAAAACAGAACAAAAAAUAAAUCUUGAAAAUUUUAUAAGCG